UACGUAGGGUGCGAGCGUUGUCCGGAAUUAUUGGGCGUAAAGAGCUUGUAGGCGGUCUGUCGCGUCUGCUGUGAAAAUCCGGGGCUCAACCCCGGACUUGCAGUGGGUACGGGCAGACUAGAGUGUGGUAGGGGAGACUGGAAUUCCUGGUGUAGCGGUGAAAUGCGCAGAUAUCAGGAGGAACACCGAUGGCGAAGGCAGGUCUCUGGGCCACUACUGACGCUGAGGCACGAAGGUCAGGGGAGCAAACGGG
rnacentral:rRNA from 1 species